AUCACCUGAGGACCUUGUUAAAAUGCAAACUGUAAUUCAGUAAUGCUGGGCUAUGAUCUGAAAUUCUGCCUUUUUAACAAGCUCCCAGGUGAUGCUGA
rnacentral:pre_miRNA from 1 species